rnacentral:rRNA from 1 species
AUUGAACGCUGGCGGAAUGCUUUACACAUGCAAGUCGAACGGCAGCACGGGGCAACCUGGUGGCGAGUGGCGAACGGGUGAGUAUACAUCGGAACGUGCCCAACCGUGGGGGAUAACGUAGCGAAAGUUACGCUAAUACCGCAUACGAUCUACGGAUGAAAGCGGGGGAUCGCAAGACCUCGCGCGAAUGGAGCGGCCGAUGUCAGAUUAGGUAGUUGGUGGGGUAAAGGCUCACCAAGCCAACGAUCUGUAGCUGGUCUGAGAGGACGACCAGCCACACUGGGACUGGGACACGGCCCAGACUCCUACGGGAGGCAGCAGUGGGGAAUUUUGGACAAUGGGCGCAAGCCUGAUCCAGCCAUUCCGCGUGCAGGAUGAAGGCCUUCGGGUUGUAAACUGCUUUUGUACGGAACGAAACGGCUCUCUCUAAUACAGGGGGCUAAUGACGGUACCGUAAGAAUAAGCACCGGCUAACUACGUGCCAGCCGCCGCAGUAACAC